AUACGGAGGGUGCGAGCGUUAAUCGGAAUUACUGGGCGUAAAGCGUACGUAGGUGGCUUGAUAAGUCGGAUGUGAAAGCCCUGGGCUCAACCUGGGAACUGCAUUCGAUACUGUCUGGCUAGAGUAUAGUAGAGGGAAGUGGAAUUCCGGGUGUAGCGGUGAAAUGCGUAGAUAUCCGGAGGAACACCAGUGGCGAAGGCGGCUUCCUGGACUAAUACUGACACUGAGGUACGAAAGCGUGGGGAGCAAACAGGAUUAGAAACCCCAGUAGUCC
rnacentral:rRNA from 1 species